rnacentral:rRNA from 1 species
GAUUACAAGUACCGUGAGGGAAAGUUGCAAAGCACUUUGAAGAGAGAGUUAAAGAGGACGUGAAACCGGUGAGGUGGAAACGGAUAGAGUCGGCGUAUCUUGCAAGUAUUCAUUUACAUUUAGUUGUAUUUUUUAGCUUUGAGCUCCAGAUUGGGACAGAGUUAAAUUAUAUAAUUAUUUGUGAUGCAUUUACUUGCAUGGUGCGUGGGGAUUUCUGAGACAGAUUUGUGCCCUACGUUUUGAGGCCAGCUUGCUGGUACCCGAAUGUGGUUAGCAAUUUUUGUUUUAGUUGUAAAAAAAGUAUGGCUUACGGACUUUAUGUGGAUUGAUUUGGUUGUAAGUUACGGUCGCAUGCGACACGUGCUUUUCAAUCUUUUCGGUCUGUGUAAUGUUCUCAUACUUAUUCCCCAUGUAAAAGCCGGUCAUCUAUCCGACCCGUCUUGAAACACGGACCAAGGAGUUUAUCGUGUGCGCAAGUUUUUGGGUGUUUAAAACCUAAAGGCGAAAUGAAAGUAAAUGACUCUUCGAGUCUGAUGUGCGACCUUUUCUUUUUGAAAAGUGCAGCAUGGCCCCAUUCUAACUGUUUACAGUAGGGUGGAGGAAGAGCGUACGCGGUGAGACCCGAAAGAUGGUGAACUAUUCCUGAGCAGGACGAAGCCAGAGGAAACUCUGGUGGAAGUCCGAAGCGGUUCUGACGUGCAAAUCGAUCGUCUGACUUGGGUAUAGGGGCGAAAGACUAAUCGAACCAUCUAGUAGCUGGUUCCUUCCGAAAUC